UUAUUUGUUAUAAUAAAAUACGUUCAUGACUCAAAAGUUUGUAGGUCCGGAGACCACAGUGCACAGGUGUAUGAAGGGGAAAAGUGCUUGCGCACAUCUCUAAUGAUCCUUCCGCAGGUUCACCUACGGAAA
rnacentral:misc_RNA from 1 species